GCCACAUUAGCUCAGUUGGUAGAGCAAGGGACUGAAAAUCCCUGUGUCCUUGGUUCGAUUCCGAGAUGUGGCA
rnacentral:tRNA from 1 species